UCGACCUGGUAUUGCAGUACUUCC
rnacentral:piRNA from 2 species